rnacentral:tRNA from 1 species
GGAGGGGUGGCCGAGCGGCUGAAGGCGGCGGUCUCGAAAACCGUUUCGGUGUUAACCGCACCGACGUGGGUUCGAAUCCCACCUCCUCCG